UACGAAGGGGGCUAGCGUUGCUCGGAAUCACUGGGCGUAAAGCGCACGUAGGCGGCUUUCUAAGUCAGGGGUGAAAUCCCGGAGCUCAACUCCGGAACUGCCUUUGAUACUGGAAAGCUUGAGUUCGGGAGAGGUGAGUGGAACUGCGAGUGUAGAGGUGAAAUUCGUAGAUAUUCGCAAGAACACCAGUGGCGAAGGCGGCUCACUGGCCCGAUACUGACGCUGAGGUGCGAAAGCGUGGGGAGCAAACAGGG
rnacentral:rRNA from 1 species